rnacentral:lncRNA from 10 species
GUUUGAAACUGUGAAAGCAAUGAGGACCACAUCAUUUUCACUUCCCUUCGUGGCCCCAACUCAAACCAACCCAAAACCCAAGAAAGAAGAUGUGGAGAUUGUGUUGCCUUUCAUAACUGGGAAGCGCGGGAAGAUUCACUUCCAGAGCCUUGAGACAACAUGUAAAAAGUUCAACUACCCUGAGACUGCAGUGAUGGAGAUGUCAUGUGGAGAGACCACAUGGAAAGUCCCUGAAGCUACAGGAGGAGAGCGAGAGAGAGAGAGAAAGAGAUCGAUCCCCCAAGAGACUUCAAUCAUUUGAGUCAUCCCAGCCCAGGAACCAGACAUGUGAAUGAAGAAGCUACCAGAUAAUCCCAGCCACCAGAUACCAGCUCCCAGCCACUGGAGGCACUCCCCCACUCUUCAAGUCUCCCCACCUUAAGCCCUAGAUGUCAUGGAUCAGAGACAAACCAUCCCCACUAUGCCCUGUCCAAACUUCAGACCCACAAAAACCAUGAGCAUAUUAAAAAUGAUUGCUGUUUUAUGCCACUGAGUUCUCGGAUGGUUUCUUACACAGCAAUCGAAAACUGGAACACGGCUGGGUGCAGUGGCUCAUGACUGUAAUCCCGGCACUUUGGGAGGCUGAGACAGGUGGAUCACCUGAGGUCAGGAGUUCAAGACCAGCCUGGCCAACAUGGUGAAACCCCAUCUCUACUAAAAAAAAUACAAAAAAUUAGCCAGGCGUGGUGGCGUGAGCCUGUAAUCCCAGCUACUUGGGAGGCUGAGGCAGCAGAAUUGCUUGAACCCGGGAGGCAGAGAUGGCAUUGAGCCAAGACCACACCAUUGCACUCUAGCCUGGGCAAUGAGACAGAAGCUGCAUCUCAAAAAAAAAAAAGAAAGAAAGAAAGAAAAAAGAAAAGAAGAAAGGAAACUGGAACAGAUAACCUCACUCACAGCUGGAGGUUGGUCGGCUGACAGUUUAGGCCAUGAGGGUGACUGAGCCAUGUGCCUCUCACCUUUCAGGCUACCUCUGGCUUGUUCACAUGAUGGUUAAGAGUGGCAAGAUCAGUGCAAAAUGACAAAGUAGACAGUUCCAAGCCCGCGUUCCCCACAGAAACAUCAAAAAACAAGCAGAAACUGUCAGAUACAACUUUGUCAGAACUCUGGGAAACAGUCAAAGGUUUACGGUAGUCCAGUGAAUGCUGAAUCAAGAAGAAAGACAACUUCAAAAUGAUCAAAAGCUUUUGAUAUUUCGACUUGCGUUUGCCCCACUUGCCACUGCCCUCCCUUGUGUGACAGCAGUAGUGGGAAGAGGGAAGCCCACACUCCCAGCAUGAGACUCUCAUUCCUCCUUCCAGAGGGAGCAGAGCAGACUUUAUUUGUAGAUGAUAGUGUAUGUCCGCUCUAAGCUGUCUGGGAGCCACCUGAAGGACAAGGUGCUCAUCUCUGGUCUUCCUGCCUCGGAACUCAGGCUGGAAAAGUGGUGGCACUGCUCAAAAACACUGCAAGCCAAACUAACAAACCACAGAUGUCUGUUCCAAAGAUUACAAUCAAAACACACAAUAGACGGCCUAAGGCUCAGGAGCAAAAGCUGGGGAGAGUUUCCUGGGGAAAUUAGAAGCACCUGCAUGCAUAGGGGGAUUUAUAAACACAGGGUUAUGCCCACAGCAAGAUGCAUGCUCAGAAAAGACCUGAGAAGACCCUAAGUUAUGCUCAGCUGAUCCCUAGGCUCAGGGCAAGCUGGGUUAAAUGUUGAAAGAGUGCUCCAGCACAGGGCCAAUCUGCAAAGACUGAGCGAGGGAAAGAUUUUUUGUUUGGUUGGUUUGCUUGCUUUUUUAGCUCCUGGUAUUCAAGAAAAUCUGUCAAAACACUAGCUGAACACAAGCUAAGGAAUAGAGACUUCAGUGACCACAUGCGACAAGUAAUAUAGUCUUUGCAAGAAUAGUUUUGGAAAGUCAUUAAGCCAAAACUACUACGGUCUUUAACAAUAAAACAAACAACAAACCAGCAAACCCUGGGACAGUGGGAGAAUCUGACAUCCAAAUUUAUCACAUUACAAAUAUUCAAAUGUCCAGUUUUUAACAAGAAAAAUCACAAGGUAUACAGAGAAAAAGGAAAUUAUGGCCCAUUGAAAGGGGAAAAAAAAUAACAAAUUGAAAGGAAUUAUUCCUGAGAAAGUCCAGAUCUGAGACUUACUAGACAAAGACUUUAAAAUAAUUGUCUUAAAUAUGCUCAAAGAGCUAAGGGAAAACAUGGACAAAAAUCUAAAGGAAACCAGGAAAACAAUGUAUGAAUAAAAUGAGACUAUCAAUAAAGAAAUGGCCAGGCGUGGUGGCUCAUGCCUAUAAUCCCAGCACCUUAGGAGGCUGAGUUGGGUGGAUCACUUGAGGUCAGGAGUUCGAGACCAGCCUGGCCAACGUGGGGAAACCUCAUCUCUACUGAAAAUAUAAAAAUUAGCUGGUCAUUGUGGCAGGCACCUGUAAUCCCAGCUACUCAGGAGGCUGAGAGAGGAGAAUCACUUGAACACAAGAGGCGGAGGCUGCAGUGAGCUGAGAUUGCGCUACUGCACUCCAGCCUGAGUGACAGAGUGAGAUCCUGUCUCAAAAAAAAAGAAAAAGAAAAAAAAGUAUGAAGGCCAGAAGACAGUGUGAUGACAUACUUAAAUUGCUGAAAGAAAAAAAAUCAACCAAUAAUUCAACAUCUUUCAAAACUCUUUCAGGCCAGGCGCAUUGGCUCACACCUGCAAUCCCAGCACUUUGGGAGGCCAAGGCGGGAGGAUGACCUGAGGUCAGGAGUUCGAGACCAACCUGACCAACGUGGAGAAACCCCAUCUCUACUAAAAAUACAAAAACUAGCUGGGCAUGGUGGCACACGCCUGCAAUCCCAGCUACUCGAGAGGCUGAGGCAGGAGAAUCACUUGAACCCAGGAGGCAAAGGUUGCAGUGAGCCAAGAUCGCACCACUAAACUCCAGCCUGAGCAUCAAAGUGAGACUCUGUCUCAAAAAAAAAAAAAAAAAAAAAAAAGCAGAGUUUGGCAGAAUAAUUUUAUUUUUUUAUUUUUUUUUUUUUGAGACAGAGUUUCCCUCUUUUUGCCCAGGCUGAAGUGCAAUGGUGUGAUGUCAGCUCACUGCAACCUCCGCCUCCCGGAUUCAAGCGAUUCUCCUGCCUCAGCCUCACAAGUAGCUGGGAUUACAGGCACCUGCCACCAUGCCUGGAUAAUUUUUUGUACUUUUAGUAGAGACGGGGUUUCACCAUGUUGGCCAGGAUGGUCACGAUCUCUUGACCUCGUGAUCCACCCACCUCGGCCUCCCAAAGUGCUGGGAUUACAGGAAUGAGCCACUGCGCGCGGCCUAGAUUGGCAGAAUAAUUUUUUAAAACAUGAUCUAUGUCUUUUUUUUUUUUUUUUUUUCGAGAGGGAGUUUCACUCUUAUUGCCCAGGCUGCAGUGCAAUGGAGCGAUCUCGGUUCACUGUAACCUCUGACUCCUGGGUUCAAGAGAUUCUCCUGCCUCAGCCUCCCGAGUACCUGGGAUUACAGGCACCCACCACCAUGCCCAGCUAAGUUUUUAUAUUUUUAGUAGAGGCGGGGUUUCAUCAUGUUGGUCAGGGUGGUCUCGAACUCCUGAC